UUCGGUUUGGUUUCAAUCUCCAUCACUGUUCUUAUUCGCAGAGAUUAAAGCGAAGAACAGAGAGUUUGUGUUUGUGGAGGGGAAAGAUUUGAUUUUUAUUUUUUAUUUUCGUUCUCAGUUUUGGUUCUUCUGAAUUGAGUUUAAUGUAAACGGUAAUAAUCAUCAAUUGUGUAUGGCGAAUCUGCUGUAUCUUCAGCUUUCUUCUUGCGUCGUCAGAGGCAGAUUCUGUUCUAUGAACUGCGAUUUUGAUCUCUGCCCAAGUAUCUUGAGCCGGGGCUCCUUUGAUUGCCGCGCCUCCCGCGGACCUAGCUGGGAGGAGGAGCUUUUCCGCGACGAAGGGUUUGCUCGAUUCCAGUUCGGGAACCGUAAGAAGAAGAAGAAGCCGUGGUGGUUCGAUGAUGAUGAUGACGAUUAUGACGAUUGGAUGGUUGAAGAAGAAGAGGACUGGACUAUGGUUUUUGAGGUAUUUAGGACUUUGAGUUGGAUGCUUGCACCCAUUGGCAUUUCUAUGCUUCUUGGAACAGAUUCAAACGCGGGUUUAAUGGCAUUAGCAGUUCCUUUUGUACAGUCUGUGUUGUCUCUUGUGGUUAGUAAGGUCUGGAGCAGGCCAAGCAUUAGACCUAUGAAAAGAAGCAGAAGAGAUACAUUUUCAAGAUCUGGGAGUGUAGGUAGUGAAAGAAGAAGGAAAGCUAAGCAAGGAGAAAACAUGAGGGGUGAUGUGGAUAAGGGAGGAUACAAGUCAUGGAUGGUAGGAGAUGCUGAUUCUAACAGCAUGGGUACUGUCUAUGGAGGAUGGGAUGAUUUAGACACGCUAAGGGAGAUUAGAAAUGGCUAUUCGGCAAACGAGAAUGUUCGUCCAAAACAACAGUUUGAAAGAAAAGCUAGUCGCCGGUGGAGAGUUAAGGAGAAGCCAUUGCUCUUGAGGAUGCUUAUUGCUGCCUUCCCUUUUUUGAGUUCAUGGACCAGAUUGUUAUUUUGACAAGGGGUCUUGAUUGGUCAUCAAAUAAAUUCAAUCGUCCUGAAAUCCUAAAGAUCGUAGUCUAAAGUGAGUUACAUCUUUUGUUAACUCAAACUAAGUGUCAGAAGCUUAUGGGUACAUUUACUCCUAUGAUCAGCAUUCAGCAACCCCUACCCUAGUCUAUUUGAACUAGGUAGAGACCUUUACGUGUGAUUUGAUUUACUGUUGUGUGGAUAAAUAGAAGUUUCAAAGUGACACGAAUAUUGGCAUGUGCUAAUUGUUUGUUCUCUGACAACAAAGAAGUUACAUCUGAAAACAUAAUCUUUGCCAAUUUUUUGUUCUAUGACAAACAAAGAAGUUACAUCUGAAAACAUAAUCUAGGUAGGGCUCUAUAUGUUAUCUAAGCUUUAUCUUUUUGGGUCUGAAUAUAGAGUCUUUUAGGCUUCAUGGUGAUAAAGACUAACCCAAAACUAC